ACCAGCAGCCAUAUCACCCUGCAGCCCAAGACUGGUUGCUCACUGAAGCCAAGCAGGGUUGAGCUGGUCAGUACCUGGAUGGGAGACCUCCUGGGAAAACUAGGUUGCUGUUGGAA
rnacentral:rRNA from 1 species